ACCAGUCGACGCCAGACUUCCCUGUUGGCUGUUGCCAACCCCAGCUCCUUCAAGGUCAAGCCAGUCACUUCAAGGAUACCAUUCAUCCAUCUUGCCUUUGGUCCUCCCCCCUUCCUUUUUGCUUCAAUUUUCCCCAGGAUCAUUCUCUUCUCCAAGCUUUCCGGUCUUCUCAUUAUGUUGCCAAAGUACUUCAUCUUUGACUCUAAUUUCCUUUCCUCCAGUGAGCAGCCGGGCAUUAUUUCCUGGAGUAUGGACUGGUUGGAUCCUCUUGCAGCCCAAGGCACUCUCAGAAUUUUCCUCCAACACCACAGUUCAAAAGCAUCUUAUCUUCCUUCACUCAGCCUCCUUUACAUUCCAGCUCUCGCACCCAUAGGUUGCUACAGGGAAUACCAUUGCUUUAACUAUGCGGAUAUUCAUGGCCAGUGUGAUGUCUCUACUCUUAACAAUUUUCUUGAGAUUGGUCAUUGUCCUCCUCCUAAGAAGUCAACAUCUUCUGAUUUCCUGGCUGCAGUCUGUGUCUGCAGUAAUUUUUGCACCUAGAAAUACAAAGUCUGUCACUGCCUCCACAUUUUCUCUCUCUAUUUGCCAGUUAUCAAUCAGUCUGUUUGCCAUAAUCUUGUUUUUGUUUUUUUGAAGUUUAACGGCAACCCAGCUUUUGCACUUUCUUCUUUAACCUUGGUGAUAAGGCUCCUCAGCUCCCCCUUGCUUUCAGCCAUCAAAGUGGUAUCAUCUGUAUAUCUAAGGUUGUUAAUGUUUCUUCCAGCAAUUUUAACUCCAGCCUUGGAUUCAUCAAGCCCUGCACGUCACAUGAUGUGUUCUGCAUACAAGUGAAACAAGUGGGGUGAUAGGAUACAGCCCUGCCAUACUCCUUUCCCAAUCUUGAAUCAGUCCGCUGUUCCGUGGUCUGUUCUUACUGUUGCUAAUUGGUUGUUAUACAGAUUAUUCAGGAGACAGACAAGGUGACUUAGUAUCCCCAUACCAUCAAGAACAAGAAAAAGAAAAGCACAAUAUAAAUGUUAAAAACAAAUAGUAACAGUGUGGUAAAACCAGAUUAAAAUGCAAUAAGUACAUUUAAAAUACUUAAUGCUAGCAGGGGAUGGGUAGUUAUCAGAGCAAAAACUGGUUUUGGAGUACUGGGGCCACAACAGCAGAACUCCAAUGAUUCCAAUUGAUAACAAUAAAAACAGCAAGAAUUGUAAUUUGAAAUGCUGUUGUUCAAAAUUAUGUUCACCCUGUCCCAUCCUUCCAUUUUUGCCUUGCCCUCAAAUAAUCGGUCUAUAUUAUUUUCCUCAUUAACUAUACCCAUCUCUGAAGUGGUCCUGUUAAGUUUCCCCCCAAAUAAUCUUUGGUAACUCUUCAAGAUUUUGGGCUUUCUUUCCUUUUGUGGUCACAUAGUGCAAUUUGGUAACAAGAGACUCCACUGCAAAGAACUGAAGUAUGUUAGUAUAUUUUGUCCCAGUUUUUGAAGAUCUUUAGUGUGUACGUAAUUUGUUGUGGUAUGUGUAUGUGUGCAGGCCAGCAAGCAGACCAGCAGAAAAAUUAAUCCUUUUAUAUUAAAAAAAAAUGAGCAACACAAAAUGAAUCAAGAAUUCAAAGUUUACUUUUGUGUAUCAGAGCUUAAAAAUAUUAACACAGCAACUUCAACAUAAACAGUUACAGUUUUCCUGUACGCACUCAUGCAUAGUCCUUUGCAUUCGUUCAUGCAAUGCUGUCCAUCACAAAAGUUUAUCUUCUUCUGUGCUUCUGUGUAGAUAAACAGAGAAGACAACACUUGCAGUAUCAAAUGGAUUGCAAGUCAAGAGCUUCCACCCAGGAGCAAACAUUCAGUUUGACAAACCGUAGGGCUGAGCUGGCAAAUGAUGGGUACUUUUUCUAUUAUUGAUUUGCUGGUAAGAAGAACUCUCUCUCCCUUUGUGAAUAUGUGUGUGUAUAUGUGUGUGGAUUUGUGUUCAGAGGGAUAAAAGUUACGCAUGCAAUUAGCAGUGUGGGAAUAGAACAAUGGAAGUCCACAAGUAAUUGGGCAUAUUUUACUAGAAUAGUAAAAUUCUUUCCUGGUAAUCAAUGGACACAGAAGGAAAAAUCAGCUGUAGUGGAAUAUUGUGUGCUAUGGAAAAUUGGUUUUCAAAGUGUGUUAUGUAUUAGUGCAGUGGUUCCCACCUUGCAUUCUCUGGGUGUUAUGGAGUUCAGCUCCCAUAAUUCCUAACAGCUUUAUUGAAGUCCAAAAUAACUGGCGGAUCAAAGUUGGGAACCACUGCACUAGAACUUUACUGGUUUUCUUAGGACUUUAUUGCAUAAGGCAGGCCAACUGGAAUCUCCAUCACAUGAUGUCAUGCAUAUUAAUAAUAAUAAUAAUAAUAAAACUUUAUUUAUACCCCGCCACCAUCUCCCCAACGGGGACUCGGGGCGGCUUACAUGGGGCCAUGCCCAGGACAAUACAACAUUGCACUGUUGGUUUGCUUCCUGCACUAUUCAUAGGAAAAACCCAUCAAUAGCUGACAAUUUCACCAUGUUUAUUUUGUUUUAUUUAUUUAUUUACUAUAUUUUACCCCGCCCUUUUCAAAUCCGUGGGGGACUCAGAGCGGCUUCACAUAUCGGCAGCAAUUUGAUGCCAUUAAAAACAUACAAUUGGCAAAAACACACUAAAACAAGAAUUAAAACAAAUUACAACAAUUACAACAAUUAUUAAAAUCAUAUCAUCCAAAGUCGUAGUCCAGGGCCAUUGCAAUUUCUCAUUGCACAAAUUCAUUGUUCAUUUAUUGCACUGCAGUUAUUCUCUAAAAGUUUGUUACCACCACUUAUCUUGUAUGAUGGGUCCAUUCCACUUCUGUGGUGAGAUUCUAGUAGUAAAGUGACAUCAAGAGGUGGGAUUUUCCAUUUCUCUCCCUUUCCCCCUUCGCUUCAUUAUUCCUGAGCUGUUUAUUUAAUAUUUUACUGUUUUGUUUUGCUAACAAUUGCUAGAACUGUAAAAUUGCUUAAAAAAACAACUGGAAUAGCAGAAGUGCAGGAAGGCAAUUUUAGGAGGGUAUGCAGAAAUAUGAUUGCAGUAUCGUGAAUGAAAAAAAGGUCUGAUUAAUGUGGUUGAGGCUCCUUCUUUGGAGGCUUUUAAACAGAGGCUGGAUGGUCAUCCAACGAGGGUACUUUGAAUGCGAUUUUCCUGCUUCUUGGCAGGGGGUUGGACUAGAUGGCUCACAAGGUCUUUUCCAAUUCUAUGACUCUGUGAUUCUAUGAAGAAGUUGAUCAUCCAAGUAUGUAUCCACUAACAACGAUUGUACAGUUGCCAUGGAAUAGUAGCUUCAUGGAAUAAAGUCCUUGGUGAGAAGAGGACUAAUAGCAGACAAAUAAUAUUGAAUGUUAUGGCUUUUCACAGUUAUCAUUUUGGAUAGUUUGCUUGUCAUCAUCCACCCUGUAUUAUUGUAUAUCCACAGGCCACAAUGGACAUAUUCUGGGAAAUGACAGUGUAUAGUGGAUAAUGGUGAUGCCCAGUAGCCCUACACAAUAUCUAGCAUACACAGAUUGAGGUGGUUACUGCAGAAGGCAUAUGGUGGCUGUUUGGAAGGAGCAAGAAUGGUAGUCUCCAGGAUGGUCUCUGUGCCUCUUAACUAGCCUGCUGUGCUCAUGUAUGGCAGAGGAAGUUGUCCCAUCUCUUCUACUGAUGUCAGAUUAAUCUAAUCUGGUUGACUUCCUAUUCAUAUUGCACAUAUCUUGUUUGUAGUGCAAAAGAAAGAAAGAACAAUACAAUAUUUAAAAUGAACAAUUUUCACCAAUAUAAACUUAACAGUAUUUGAAUUGAAGAUCCCAGGGGCCACCCAGUCUUUGUAAUAAUUAUAGUAGUAGUAGUAGUAGUAGUAGUAGUAGUAGUAAUAGGAGCAACCUCCAGGAGCCACCCAGUCCAACCUGUUUCUGCCAUGCUGGGAAAGCACAAUCAAAGUAGCGGCAGGGUGGCCUUGCAGGCCAUGGUGUUGGUGGGAAGACCCUCACAGGCUGUGCCAGCAGUAGUGGGAUUCACAGCCCACAUGCUUUUUAAGCAGUGGGAGCAGACUGUGCUUUGCGGAGUCCUAAGGGCUCCACAAAGCACAGUUUGAGAAUCUCUGAUCUUGCUUAUCUCCUCUUUCAACCCGUCAAAGAAAGAGGCCAAGAACAAAAUAUGAGUUAUAGCUUUGUCUUGUUAGGGAAGGGGAUAACCUGCUAGACAGAUUUGAACUUCAUACGAAACAAUCCAUGGACUGAAAAUCUGUGAGCAAUGCUCACUUCCAGGAAGAGUAAUUGGGUGUCAUGGACUAACAUUAUGUUUCUGUUUAAUGUAACAGAAUUCUGAAUAGUUAUUAUUGUUUGGGAACACAGGAACACAUAAUCAUUUGGUUGAACAACUUCUUAAAGCAGUACCGCUGGCUUGUCUUAUUGGGAAGUAAAGCAUUCUCUUUGACACUGACAAUAUCCAAGAUAAUGUUAAUAUUUGUAGUGCGUUUUUUGGCAACUGGGCAAUGAAAAAAAUAGACAAUGUAAAGUAUCAGAUUCAUUAAACAUUAUAUCAUGCAAUAUCUGAUGUCUUUGAACAAUUUUUGCACACUGGAACAUUUUCUCUACAAGUUAUUUCAUCCGGUCAACCCUUUGUGUUAUAAAAUAGGAAUGUCUUCAUGGUUAUUCAGAAUUAUAUGUGGAAUGAGUGUUUUUGGAAUUGUGCAGAUGUCACACUGAAGUCUCUUUUUUCUGUUAAUGACUUCAUCAUAUUACAUUAUAAACUCUGCAACAGAACUCAGAAGUGUAAGGUGGAAUUUUAUCAGGAGAAAAUACUUUCUAGUUUGUCAAGAGCUUCUGCUUUGGUAUAUAGUACUUGUGGUUGCUGUGUUGAAUGCUCUCUGCUGGUGUCUUAUCAUAAUUAAGAAGCUUGAAAAUUUAGCUGGCAUCAUCUUAGGCAAUUACUAUGCUGUUCACUCUACUUAUGACUUUGUAAUUGUUUGUGAUCAUGGUACUUUUGCUGAGAGUGUAAAUGCCAUUAAAACACAUCUUAAAAGCCACACUGCCAUACUAAGCAAAUGAGUUCUAUGACACAGUCAAGCAGGGUGCUGAGGGAUGUUGCAGUGUGAUGAUUUGGGACAGGUCUCCACAGGGAUCACUGCAUCUGCUUGUUUGGUGGUUCUGUGUAUUUUAAUAGUAUUAAAUUUUGUCUGUGUGUUUUAACUAUGUUGUAUCCUGCCUUGAGCUGUGAGAAGACGCAGAAAACAAAUAAUAAUAAUGAUUAUGAUUUUAAUUAUGGGUCUAGAUAAAUAAUUCCCCAGUAAACCACAUGACAAUGCCACAGAGCUCCAUUGUUCAGUUUGGCUUCCUGGCUUUUAAGAUGGGCUUUACAUUGAGAACUAUGUAACUCCUACACAUGAUCGCAAUUGCAUAUUUACCUGGAAUGCAUCUUUUACAUCAUCAUAGCUGAGCACCAGUUAUGGUAUGGGAAAGGGCUGGUAUUUUCCCAAAUUCUUCCAUAGAUUUACAUUAUUGUGACCAGAAAUACACAGGAAUAUACAUAAAAUGGCCUUUAUUAACCACUGGGGCUGACUCUAGGACCCUCUAUUAGAAAAGUCUUUUUUGAAAUUACUCAAGAGACCCUUUUUGUGAAUGCUAAAAUAGAAUGUUGACAUUAGGCUGAACAUUUCUGUUGUGAGGUCAGAACUGUGUGGACUAUGUGGUCAACACAGAAAACAACUCUCAGUGGUGAAGCCUAAGCUGAAUGUAGAGAAGAUCUCAGGAUCUGUCCCUGGCAUCUUUUCUUAGAUCCUGGAGAGCUGCUACCCAUCAUGGUAGGCAGUGUUGGGUGAGAUAUAAACACUCUAUCUUGGCUUCAGACUAUUUCUAUGUUCUCAUAGUGUAGGGGUUGUUAUCUUAAAAUGAAUAAUAGGAGUUGUAGUCCUGAAAAGAAAAAGAACAGAUGCUGUAGUUUUUAGAAAAGUAGCUCCCUCCUGAAUUCUUUGUAUGGGAAACUAGAAGAUAAAACCAGUGUUUGGCUGCCGCUCAAGCUAAUCAGGGUCAGCACUAGAGACUUGAAGUUCCAGUAUAGUUUCUAUCUUAAACUGUUUGCAUGCAUAGAAUAGUGAGCCAAUUAAAAUACAAUGAGUGAAGAAUAAACCAAUGAAAGAAGCAAACUGUAAACCCUGAUCAAAAUUGUGUUGUUUGAUCCACUGUAAAUUAUAAAAGAUCGCAACCCCAUUUUUGGGGGCACUGCAGUUCUUUAUGCUUCAAGCCACUGUCCGCCAUUUGCUGAUCAGCAAAUAAAGCCUUUUUCACUUGUCUCAA